UUUGGGAGGCCCAGGUGGGAGGAUCACUUGAGCACAGGAGCUCAAGACCAAUCUGGGCAACAAAGUGAGACCUCAUCUCUAC
ensembl:miRNA